GACGAACGCUGGCGGCGUGCUUAACACAUGCAAGUCGAACGGAAAGGCCCUGCUUUUGUGGGGUGCUCGAGUGGCGAACGGGUGAGUAACACGUGAGUAACCUGCCCUUGACUUUGGGAUAACUUCAGGAAACUGGGGCUAAUACCGGAUAGGAGCUCCUGCUGCAUGGUGGGGGUUGGAAAGUUUCGGCGGUUGGGGAUGGACUCGCGGCUUAUCAGCUUGUUGGUGGGGUAGUGGCUACCAAGGCUUUGACGGGUAGCCGGCCUGAGAGGGUGACCGGCCACAUUGGGACUGGGAUACGGCCCAGACUCCUACGGGAGGCAGCAGUGGGGAAUAUUGCACAAUGGGCGGAAGCCUGAUGCAGCAACGCCGCGUGCGGGAUGACGGCCUUCGGGUUGUAAACCGCUUUCGCCUGUGACGAAGCGUGAGUGACGGUAAUGGGUAAAGAAGCACCGGCUAACUACGUG
rnacentral:rRNA from 1 species